rnacentral:rRNA from 1 species
GAGGAAGACGCAGUGAACUGAAACAUCUAAGUAGCUGCAGGAAGAGAAAGCAAAAGCGAUUGCCUUAGUAGCGGCGAGCGAAACGGCAGAAGGGCAAACCGAAGAGUUUACUCUUCGGGGUUGUAGGACUGCAAUGUGGACUCAAAGAUUAUAGAAGAAUGAUUUGGGAAGAUCAGCCAAAGAGAGUAAUAGCCUCGUAUUUAAAAUAGUCUUUGUACUUAGCAGUAUCCUGAGUACGGCGGGACACGUGAAAUCCCGUCGGAAUCUGGGAGGACCAUCUCCCAACCCUAAAUACUCCCUAGUGACCGAUAGUGAACCAGUACCGUGAGGGAAAGGUGAAAAGCACCCCGGGAGGGGAGUGAAAUAGAACCUGAAACCGUGUGCCUACAACAAGUUCGAGCCCGUUAAUGGGUGAGAGCGUGCCUUUUGUAGAAUGAACCGGCGAGUUACGUUAUGAUGCGAGGUUAAGUUGAAGAGACGGAGCCGUAGGGAAACCGAGUCUGAAUAGGGCGCCUUAGUAUCAUGACGUAGACCCGAAACCAUGUGACCUACCCAUGAGCAGGUUGAAGGUGCGGUAAGACGCACUGGAGGACCGAACCAGGGCACGUUGAAAAGUGCUUGGAUGACUUGUGGGUAGCGGAGAAAUUCCAAACGAACUUGGAGAUAGCUGGUUCUCUCCGAAAUAGCUUUAGGGCUAGCGUCGACAUUAGAGAUUCUUGGAGGUAGAGCACUGUUUGGGUGAGGGGUCCAUCCCGGAUUACCAAUCUCAGAUAAACUCCGAAUGCCAAUGAAUUAUGGUCGGCAGUCAGACUGCGAGUGCUAAGAUCCGUAGUCGAAAGGGAAACAGCCCAGACCACCAGCUAAGGUCCCAAAAUAAUUGUUAAGUGGAAAAGGAUGUGGGGUUGCACAGACAACUAGGAUGUUAGCUUAGAAGCAGCUAUUCAUUCAAAGAGUGCGUAAUAGCUCACUAGUCGAGUGACCCUGCGCCGAAAAUGUACCGGGGCUAAAACAAUUUACCGAAGCUGUGGAUACCUUUAUAGGUAUGGUAGGAGAGCGUUCUAUGUGUGAUGAAGGUAUACCGUGAGGAGUGCUGGAACGCAUAGAAGUGAGAAUGCCGGUAUGAGUAGCGAAAGACAGGUGAGAAUCCUGUCCACCGUAAGACUAAGGUUUCCAGGGGAAGGCUCGUCCGCCCUGGGUUAGUCGGGACCUAAGGAGAGACCGAAAGGUGUAUCCGAUGGACAACAGGUUGAUAUUCCUGUACUAGAGUAUGUAGUGAUGGAGGGACGCAGUAGGCUAACUAAAGCAGACGAUUGGAAGAGUCUGUCUAAGCAGUGAGGUGUGAAUUGAGUCAAAUGCUUAAUUCUAUAACAUUGAGCUGUGAUGGGGAGCGAAGUUUAGUAGCGAAGUUAGUGACGUCACACUGCCAAGAAAAGCUUCUAGCGUUUAAACAUACUCUACCCGUACCGCAAACCGACACAGGUAGUCGAGGCGAGUAGCCUCAGGUGAGCGAGAGAACUCUCGUUAAGGAACUCGGCAAAAUGACCCCGUAACUUCGGGAGAAGGGGUGCUGACUUAAAGUCAGCCGCAGUGAAUAGGCCCAAGCAACUGUUUAUCAAAAACACAGCUCUCUGCUAAAUCGUAAGAUGAUGUAUAGGGGGUGACGCCUGCCCGGUGCUGGAAGGUUAAGAGGAGUGCUUAGCGUAAGCGAAGGUAUGAAUUGAAGCCCCAGUAAACGGCGGCCGUAACUAUAACGGUCCUAAGGUAGCGAAAUUCCUUGUCGGGUAAGUUCCGACCCGCACGAAAGGCGUAAUGAUUUGGGCACUGUCUCAACGAGAGACUCGGUGAAAUUUUAGUACCUGUGAAGAUGCAGGUUACCCGCGACAGGACGGAAAGACCCCAUGGAGCUUUACUGCAGUUUGAUAUUGAGUGUCUGUACCACAUGUACAGGAUAGGUAGGAGUCUAAGAGAUCGGGACGCCAGUUUCGAAGGAGACGCUGUUGGGAUACUACCCUUGUGUUAUGGCCACUCUAACCCAGAUAGGUGAUCCCUAUCGGAGACAGUGUCUGACGGGCAGUUUGACUGGGGCGGUCGCCUCCUAAAAGGUAACGGAGGCGCCCAAAGGUUCCCUCAGAAUGGUUGGAAAUCAUUCGCAGAGUGUAAAGGUAUAAGGGAGCUUGACUGCGAGAGCUACAACUCGAGCAGGGACGAAAGUCGGGCUUAGUGAUCCGGUGGUUCCGUAUGGAAGGGCCAUCGCUCAACGGAUAAAAGCUACCCUGGGGAUAACAGGCUUAUCUCCCCCAAGAGUUCACAUCGACGGGGAGGUUUGGCACCUCGAUGUCGGCUCGUCGCAUCCUGGGGCUGUAGUCGGUCCCAAGGGUUGGGCUGUUCGCCCAUUAAAGCGGCACGCGAGCUGGGUUCAGAACGUCGUGAGACAGUUCGGUCCCUAUCCGUCGCGGGCGUAGGAAAUUUGAGAGGAUCUGCUCCUAGUACGAGAGGACCAGAGUGGACUUACCGCUGGUGUACCAGUUGUCUUGCCAAAGGCAUCGCUGGGUAGCUAUGUAGGGAAGGGAUAAACGCUGAAAGCAUCUAAGUGUGAAACCCACCUCAAGAUGAGAUUUCCCAUGAUUAUAUAUCAGUAAGAGCCCUGAGAGAUGAUCAGGUAGAUAGGUUAGAAGUGGAAGUGUGGCGACACAUGUAGCGGACUAAUACUAAUAGCUCGAGGACUUAUCCAA